UGGCCCCAGGAAGUGAGUGCCAGACCACUAGACUAACCAGUCAAGUUAUCCACCAUCUCAGGUGCCUGCACUGAGACACAGGUUAUGCUUUUGUCACAGUAAGUGUAUGGCAGUGGUGGCAAUGAGACCUGUAACACUU